rnacentral:rRNA from 1 species
AGUGAACGCUGGCGGUAGGCCUAACACAUGCAAGUCGAACGGCAGCACAGUAAGAGCUUGCUCUUACGGGUGGCGAGUGGCGGACGGGUGAGGAAUACAUCGGAAUCUACUUUUUCGUGGGGGAUAACGUAGGGAAACUUACGCUAAUACCGCAUACGACCUACGGGUGAAAGCAGGGGAUCUUCGGACCUUGCGCGAUUGAAUGAGCCGAUGUCGGAUUAGCUAGUUGGCGGGGUAAAGGCCCACCAAGGCGACGAUCCGUAGCUGGUCUGAGAGGAUGAGCAGCCACACUGGAACUGAGACACGGUCCUGACUCCUACGGGAGGCAGCAGUGGGGAAUAUUGGACAAUGGGCGCAAGCCUGAUCCAGCCAUACCGCGUGGGUGAAGAAGGCCUUCGGGUUGUAAAGCCCUCUUGUUGGGAAAGAAAAGCAGCAGGUUAAUACCCCGCUGUUCUGACGGUACCCAAAGAAUAAGCACCGGCUAACUUCGUG